rnacentral:rRNA from 1 species
UGUUAUUUCUAGAUUACUUUUUCAAGGGUAGUAAAAGUUAUUCUUCAAACCCAAAGGUUUUGGCGGCAUUCUAACCAAACAGAGGAGCUUGUUUCUUAAUCGAUAACCCUCGUUUUAUCUUACCUUCUCUUAUAGAGCUUGUAUACCUCCGUUGUCAGAUUACUUUAUAAGAAUGUUUUCAAUAAAAAUAAUUUUUUUACUUCAGGUCAAGGUGCAGCUUAUGGGAUGGUAGUAAUGAGCUACAAUUUAAUUUAAAAAAACGGAUAUUUAGUUUGAAUACUUUUGGAAGGUGGAUUUGUUAGUAAAAUUGUUUAAGUAUGACUUUUUGAAGAAGGUAAAAGAAUGUGCACAUAUCGCCCGUCACUCUU